rnacentral:lncRNA from 1 species
AGUAAGUGUUCUGAGCUGGAGGAGGAGCUGAAGAAUGUCACCAACAACCUCAAAUCUCUUGAGGCUCAGGCGGAGAAGUACUCUCAAAAAGAAGACAAGUAUGAAGAAGAAAUAAAGAUUCUUACUGAUAAACUCAAGGAGGCGGAGACCCGGGCUGAGUUUGCUGAAAGAUCGGUAGCCAAACUGGAAAAGACCAUUGAUGACUUGGAAGAGCGUCUCUACAGCCAACUUGAGCGAAACCGCCUGCUUUCUAAUGAGCUGAAGCUAACGCUGCAUGGUCUUUGUGACUGACGGGCAGGGCUCCCUGAUGCCCAGUAAACCCACACCACUGACCUGGACCCAGCCAAAAGCUGACUGCCUUUUAAAAAGUCACUGUUCGCCCUAAGCAAGUUGCUUUUUAAUGAGGGCAGCUAGACUACUGUUGAUUUCCUGGCAGCCCCCUUCAAGUUGCAAUGGCUAUUUCUAUUCUAGAAGAGAUUGUGGGUGAUGAAGAUGGGGCCUGGGAGGUUUAGUGCGGAACUUGGAAACCGUUAGCUGCAGCCCUCUCACCUGUAUACUGACUGUAGGGUUUGCUCACCUGCAUGGUUAUUUUCUAACAAUAAAAACACUGACUUGAC